UACGUAGGUGGCAAGCGUUGUCCGGAAUUAUUGGGCGUAAAGCGCGCGCAGGCGGUCCUUUAAGUCUGAUGUGAAAUCUCGCGGCUCAACCGCGAGCGGUCAUUGGAAACUGGGGGACUUGAGUGCAGAAGAGGAGAGUGGAAUUCCACGUGUAGCGGUGAAAUGCGUAGAGAUGUGGAGGAACACCAGUGGCGAAGGCGACUCUCUGGUCUGUAACUGACGCUGAGGCGCGAAAGCGUGGGGAGCGGACAGG
rnacentral:rRNA from 1 species